rnacentral:lncRNA from 1 species
AGAAAGCAGGAUAUUUUGGUCUCAAAAUUUUGGGGAGAAGAAAUCAGUAAACGGUGAAUACCAAUUCGUUGCCCCUACCCCUGAAUACCUAUUACAGCUGCUGAGGGAAUAAACAAGUAAUAGCAAAAUGGUGGAAUAGUAAACGGUGAACCAAACAGUGGAAUAGGGGUGUAAUCACUGUAGCGCGCGGAAUAGGCAAGGAAUGGAAUGGCUAUUCAUGCCAACCAAACAU